rnacentral:rRNA from 1 species
UACGAAGGGUGCAAACGUUGCUCGGAAUUAUUGGGCGUAAAGCGCACGUAGGCGGCUUUGCAAGUCCCAUGUGAAAUCCCACGGCUCAACCGUGGAAGUGCAUGGGAAACUGCAGAGCUUGAGUACUUAAGAGGAUCGCGGAAUUCCCGGUGUAGAGGUGAAAUUCGUAGAUAUCGGGGAGGAACACCAGUGGCGAAGGCGGCGAUCUGGGAAGAUACUGACGCUGAGGUGCGAAAGCGUGGGGAGCAAACAGG